rnacentral:rRNA from 1 species
GACGAACGCUGGCGGCGUGCUUAACACAUGCAAGUCGAACGGAAAGGCCCUGCUUUUGUGGGUUGCUCGAGUGGCGCACGGGUGAGUAACACGUGAGUAACCUGCCCUUGUCUUUGGGGUAACUUCAGGAGACUGGGGCUCAUACCGGGUAGGAGCUCCUGCUCCGUGGUGUGGGUUGGAGAGUUUCGGCGGUUGUGGAUGGACUCGCGGGUUAUCAGCUUGUUGGUGUGGUAGUGGCUUACCAAGGCUUUGACGGGUAGCCGGCCUGAGAGGGGGAACGGCGACAUGGGGCCUGCGAUACGGCCCAGACGGCUACGGGAGGCAGCAGUCGGGAAUAUUGCGGAAUGGGCGGAAGCCUGAUGCAGAAACGCCGCGUGCGGGAUGACGGCUUUCUGGUUGUAAACAGCUGUCGCCUGUGACGAAGAGAGAGUGACGGUAAUGGGUCAAGAAGCACCGGCUAACUACGUG